CGCUGUCCGCGCCCCACCCCGGCGCGACCGGAGGAGGCUGCGCGGUCGCUGAGGGCUGCGACUCCUGCCACCCUCACCUGGGACCACAACUUUCUUCCCCUUCGUCUGGGGGCCGCGACCCCUACCCCUUCGCCCUGGACUUCCACCCCCACUCCGUCUUUGCCCGGGACCCCGGCCCCGCCCCCCUCGCCCCGGGUCCCCGCCCUGUCUGGCGGUCCGCAUGGUGGGGUCGGGAGAGCCGCUCGAGCGCGCUCGCAAGAAGGGAGAAGGCGGUGUCGCCUGUCAGUGGAGCGGAUGCCCUGGGUUGCUGUCGACCAGCAACAGUCUCUGGAUUUGAGGGGAAAUGCUGAAGACUCAGGACGUCUUCCCAAACACGAGCAUGUGCCACCCAUCCCAACCCAUUCUUGGCGGGGGCGGGGGGAGAUAAGAGUAAAUUACGGUCACCUCCUGUAAGCUCACCUCCUGUAAGCUUGCUGCCUGACUUCCUGUAUCCCUGCUCCGGUUGGUUGUUGAUUAUAGACAUACGUACGAACUGGAAAGGCUUCUCUCUCUGGGACACUGUCCAGUCUUCUGCGUGCACCUGUGCUUCUUACCUGUUCCUUUUGAGGUAUCCAAAUGCCGACAGGACUGCGCUUCGGACUUAGACGUCUUGACUGGGAAGAUCACAUAUUGCCAUCUGUGUUCGGCGCCUUCUGCUUUGGCCUACGUUGUCACAUACUCGCUCUGAGAAACUUGCACGUUCAAAAUGCUAUUCACAGCAAUGUCUUUGAAGAUAAUCACGUAAGACUGAGGUUUCCUCUGAUGUUGAAAGCACAUACACGUUUCAGGGGGAAAGUCACGUUGUAGAGUUCGCUUUCCCAGAAAACCUCUUGGGUGUAAUGCGACCCUUCUCAGCUGCCUCCAGUUUGAACCUCUCGGCCUGAGGUGUCUACCCUUGGCCCAGAGAAUAGUCCAGAGGCCCAGCGAUGUGGUCCACCUUUGAAAGACCGUGAAGUCUCCAAAGCUGACCAGACUGAGCAUCAAGAGAAGAACUUUGAAGUGAAACCCGGAAGCUCAACGGGAAGAAGGAGGGCAAAGGAAAUGAAAACCAGAGAUUUGAGAAGAAAGAACGGAAACUUGGCAGUGCCCUCUCCAAGCCAGGCCGGCAGUUUUAUUGCAGGCCGUCUGCGUUCCAGGUGUGCGGUGGGCGUGACUGUGCUCCGGCGACCGCUCUGCUGUGUCGGAUGAAGUCUCCAGUGUUUACAAAACCAAUCAAAGUGGCAUUGGCAUGUCCACGCACGUGUGCACACGCGCGCACACACACACACACUCUCUCACACACAGGCCUAUAAAAAUUCCUUUUGUCACUUGUAGUGAACUCUUGGCAAGUUGUGUGUGUGAUGCCACAGCCGGUAAACCCAGGGAAGGAGACGUAAAGGGGAAGAAAUUCCUGCGAUGUUUGGCUCUAAGUAAAAGAAAGCUCUGAGAAUUGGGAACCCAUGGACCAGCACUAAAAGAAAUGCUACAGGAAGUUCUUAAAGCUUAUGGGAAAUUAACCAAGACAGAAAUCGGGAUCUACAAGAAGGAAUGAAGCCUAGAAGUUCACAUACAGAUGAAUAAUGCAAGAAUGGUUCAACAUACAAAGAUUCAUCCAUGCAGUAUCACACAUUAACCUGACGAAUGGUUCAGCCCCGCCGGAUCAUCUCAGUUGACGCGGAAAAACACCUUUGACAGCGUGGGGUCCCAUUUGAUGAUAGAAACACUGCCUGCUCAGGUCCCAGGUCACAGCUGAGGGCGCGCUGAGGGCGCCUGCUCUGCACACAACCUGCACUCGAGACUCGGGACUGGUACGUCUCUCCGGUGGGCACACCGGCACCUCUGAAAGUUUACGUCUGCUUUUACGACGGGCUGUAGACGAAACAGCAGGUCACCUGUGGGCUGAGCGCCACUUCCCCGAGGGGGUGGACGGGAGGGGGAGGGAAAUGCAUCCCCCCCACCUGACUCUGUUCAAAGCUGCGGUCUCCAGGGAUGGAAGUGCUGUCUGGAUCUCGAGUGGGUGCGGAAAUGCUGUGACGUGUCAGUGCCUGGACCCUGCCCCCCGCCUCAGAGUCAAGGUCCCAGUACCUCAUCUCCAGCCCCCCAUGGCUGGAGCAGGCCAUUGACCUGGGCAGCCCUGGAGAUGCUUUGGGCUCAGAAUGUGAGCAGGGGGGCUGUGACGAGGCGGUGGUGCCGGGGCUCGAGUGUCUGGUUGAUUUGGGUCAUAUCCCAGGUAGGUGCGUUCCCAUGGUUCACUCAAGGAUGCAGCCUCCUGGAGACCCAGAGGCCCCCGCCUCUCGGGGGCGGGGGGGGGGGGGUCCGAGGCUUGGUCCCAUUGCCAGGCGCUGAGCCCGCUCUGGAAACUGGACAUUCGACCCAAUCCAGGUGGCAGCACAAGAAGCCAUUCUGUCCCCAGCUCUUGCUGGAGAAAGGACAGCUUGCUGGACGCGGCCCUUGAGUCUUCAUUUCCCAGACUUGGGGAAGUGGCUUGACUCCCAGGGACAAGGCCCCUGCUGCUUUCCUUGUCUCGGUGCUGGAGGCGCGGGGCAUGUGGAGAAGCAGAGCCUCCCCUUCGGCGCGCUCUGGGCUUUGGGCUGGAAGCUCGUGGGACGGAGAGAGGGUUUCCAGCAAUGACACUGUGUCCGGGUGGGUGCGGGCGGGCUGGCGCUAUGCCCACACGCCUGGCAGAGCUCUCAGCCUGCGGGACCCUCCUCCCGUCGGGCGCCUAGACCCUACAGCACUUGCUUCUGGCCAUAACUUUUCUCUGGCCUCUUGUUCUUUUCUUACUUGCCUUUGUCCUGGUUUUUUAAUAUUUCAUAUGCUCCUCUUUUUCCAGUAGAUUAUAUUUUGUCCAGUCCUCAGGCCAUACCUCUGUACAUAAGAAAAUUAAAUAAUGCUGACAGGUGCAACAGGUGUUGUUCUUGAGUCGGGUCCUGUGGGUUACCAUUCUUGUUCUGGCACCUGCCAGCGAGCCACCUCAAUUCCCUGAUUUGCGAGAGGGCAUAAUUAUGGGGUUAGCAUCAGGACUAAAUGAGACACUCACUAAUCAUAGGACUGACCUGCAGGUCAAGUGCAGUACCCCCUCCAGCAGGACAGAAGGUUUCGUAAAGGGCAGAUGGCAUGCCACGGGCAUUGUCAGUGUGAAGGGCUCCCGGUCAGCAGGUGUGGAUUGGAGUUGGGCUCAACCCUUGCCAGUGGGCCCCCCUGUAAGAGCCGCACAGCCUCUGUGAAGUCUGUUCAAGA